rnacentral:rRNA from 1 species
UACCAGCACCCCGAGUGGUCGGGACGAUUAUUGGGCCUAAAGCAUCCGUAGCCGGUUCUACAAGUCUUCCGUUAAAUCCACCUGCUUAACAGAUGGGCUGCGGGGGAUACCGCAGAGCUAGGAGGCGGGAGAGGCAAACGGUACUCAGUGGGUAGGGGUAAAAUCCAUUGAUCUACUGAAGACCACCAGUGGCGAAGGCGGUUUGCCAGAACGCGCUCGACGGUGAGGGAUGAAAGCUGGGGGAGCAAACCGG